CAGUCGCCGCGGGAAUACAGAGGGUGCGAGCGUUAAUCGGAUUUACUGGGCGUAAAGCGUGCGUAGGCGGCUAAUUGAGUCGGAUGUGAAAUCCCCGAGCUUAACUUGGGAAUUGCAUUCGAUACUGGUUAGCUAGAGUGUGGGAGAGGAUGGUAGAAUUCCAGGUGUAGCGGUGAAAUGCGUAGAGAUCUGGAGGAAUACCGAUGGCGAAGGCAGCCAUCUGGCCUAAUACUGACGCUGAGGUACGAAAGCAUGGGGAGCAAACAGGAUUAGAUACCCCCGUAGUCCCUGUCUCUUAUAU
rnacentral:rRNA from 1 species